AAAAGGGUGGAAUUGUCCUUAAGAAUAUAAAAAUGGUAGGAUGAACGCUAAGAUGGUAAUCCUUAACACCUCAAGUAUUUGGUAAUGGUACACACCUGAUACUAGGCUUAUCUAAACGCACUAAAGAAACAGGCCUUCUGCAGUCAAAAGGUGAUGCUUUUGUCACGCAACUUUUGAGGGUCAGGGUACAAAUAAGAACAGACAUGGAUGGAGGUAAUAUAGAGAAGGGAGGAGUUGUUAAACAGGAUCCAAGUUGCAGUGGAGGUGAAUUCCACAUUCAGAACAAUACUAAAUCCUUAAGUUUCAAGUUUACAGCUACUGAAACCCACUGAAGAGGUAACACUGCCCAUUUCUGGAGCCAGUCAGGGCUUUCAGCAACCUCUCAAGGCUCAGAAGUGGAGACUGGAACGUCCACAAUCUAAAUUUCACACACUUUUUGUGGAAAAAGUUACAAUAGAUGAACAAUAAGGACAUAUGCAUUGUAGGCUUGGCCCUACACCAAAAAAAAAAAAAAAAAGUUUACUGGCCCAGAUACAGAGAUGUGUUGGUGUACCAAAAACACUCACAGCUAUAUGGAGACAGCAGAGCCUGGAAAAGAACCAGGUCCUGAGGUUUUGCAGUUAAAAGUUAUGAUGGGGAUAAGAAAAAAAUUGUUGGCUCAUUUCUGAAAUGUUUGCUCAUCUUUUACCAAAAAUGUCAUUUACAUAUUAGGAAACUGAUUGGGAAGACUUUGGUUAAGAUAAAGCCAAAGUAAAUUUUGGUCCAUCUUGACCUUGAACCAGUUUGGAAAUCUGAACAAGAGUUUUUGGAUUAUUUGGGGUUUUUUUUUUUUUUUUUUUUUUUGGUGUAUGGGAGGGCAUAGCAAAGACACGGCAGUGUGUGAACGGGAAGUAUAGCACAAGCUGAGGAAGUCUGGCAUUUGAAAAGUAUCGCCUUUAAACAUGCACGUAUAAAUUCCUGCCUGUAAAAGAAAGAAAAAAUUUUAAGAUGCAUUUAUAAGUUUUAGAUAAUCUGGUUAUAUUUUAUAAAUCUAUAUAUAAGUAUAGAUGUUUACUAAUCUAGAUUUGUUUCAAAACUCAAUCUCUGCAUUUGAAUCAAAAAUAAACUUUUACGGCUGAGUAGCAGGUGAAAUGAUGGGGAAACCAGGAAACAGAAACUGCUAAUUCGAUUAAUAAUAAGCCAGUCACACGAUUUCUAAACUGCCUCUAAUCCAAAAAACCUCUACCUUUUCUAAUCUCAUACUGAUUAUUCUACGAGAUGACAAACUCUCAAUAUGACCUCCUCCUAUCCUCAACAAUUCUUGAAGGAAAAGAAAAAGAAACUUCUAAGGAAAUUUUUUAAAUGCUGAAUUUCUCUGGCAUUGAGCCAUGUGUAGAUUAAACAUCACUUAAUCCUCCAACAGCUCUAAGGCAGUGGUUUACAAGCUACAGCGUACAUUACAAUCACCUGGAGGACUUGUUUUAGAGAUUGUUGGGCUCCACCCCCAGAGUCUCCGAUUCAGUAAUGGGGGAACGCCCACCCAGGUGGUGAUGCUGCUGCUGCUGCGGCAGGUGGGGGCACUCUGAGAAGCGCUGCACUAAGGUAAUAUUAACGUGUGGCCCUCGUUCUGGGAAACGCGUGCUGUCUGCAGCAGAAAUUGCCAAGAUUUUGAAAACUUUUAUAGCAGUUUACCAUUACAUGGCAUCGAAGCACGUGAACAUUUUUCUAGUAUUUCACCCUUAUUGUAUUUUCCCAAAGUACUGAUGUGAGAACGACUAGAAAGUUGUCCAAGUUUGUGGAGCAUCGCUUUAAGCUGACCCAGCAUACGGCAGCCCCUGCCCCUGGGGACAGCGGGGCCGACCUAGGGCACGAGGGGUGACUAGGGGUGACUCAGCCAGAACACUGGCCUGAGACGCAGUUCCACACUUAAGGUUUUCAUCGUCUCGUCUCAUUCCGGCAUUUCCCGGGACAACACUCGCACCAGCCCCGCUGCAGGUGCCCUGGGUCCCGGCGGCCGGCGCAGAGGAGACAAGAAAGGAGGGCGCAGGCACAGCGCCGCGGGCGCCCGCGAGCAAGGCCAGACCCCAGCGGCACAUUUCCUGCCCAAAACUUGGGGCCGCGACGGUAUGCACUCCGGGACUCAAACCCCAGGAUCAAGUACUAAGAAAACAGCCAGAGAGAGACUUUUCCAAUCACCUCCCACAACUGGAGUGAAGAAUCAGGAUACAGUGGACAAAAUAAGACAUGAAGUGUAAGGAUGUUGUUUCAGGCUGCACACGUGUCCCAGAGAAGAAGAAACCAAGCAUCGUGAUAGAACUCUGUUGAGCCAGGCAAAGUAUGAAUGGUCUGAUCUUCCUCCAUCAUGGAAAGAAACUUAUACUGAUUCAUCAAGAAGCAGGGAUAGAAGCCUGUUUAUAUUGUUAUUUAUUUUAGAGACUAUAAAAGUGACUAACCAAAAGAACCAAAACAGGGAUGGUUGGGAAAAACGUGGUUAUCUUUGGGCAGUGAGGCCACCUUGACUGGAAGACUGCCCAAGAGUGAAGGUGACAAAGGAACCAAGAUCAGGAGACCAAGAAAAGAGGACAAUCCAGAUCCAACAAUAUCGCUAGAGUCCCUUGGUCAAGCUGAAUAUGGAAAUGAGCUUUUCCCUAUGUAAGCCAAUAAAGUCUGCUUUUGAGUUGGGUUUCUGGAACUUGCCAUUAAAAAUGCCCAAUACAUGCCAACUACUCCUCCCCUUUCCCUCCCACCUCCCCUCCAGUUAAGGUCUUUGCCUUCUCAUCUUUAUAAACUUGCAUUGCCAGAUGCCUUGUGUAUAUAUUUACAUAAGAAGUUCAAAGUUCCUAGGUAUGCGAGUUAAUAGUGGAAUUAUUUAAUUGAUAAGUCCAAGUUUAUCUAGCAGUGCUGUAAGGAAGUCCAGGUGCAGUCGCUUAUGCCUGUAACCCCAACACCUUGGGAGGCCGAGGCAGGAGGAUCGCUUGAGUCCAGAAGCUCAAGACCAGCCUGAGCAAUAUAGUGGAGACCCCGUCUUUAAAAUUUUUUGUUUAAUUAGCUGGGCAUGAUGGCAGAUGCCUGCAGUUCCAACUACUCUGAAGGCUGAGACAGGAGGAUCACUUGAGGCCAGGAAUUGGAGGCUGUAGUAAGCUACGAUUUCACCACUGCAUUCUAGCCUGGAUGAUGGAGCAAGACCCUGUUUCUAAACAAGAAUAAAAAUAAACAGUAAUUUUUUUUUUUUUUUUGAGACUGAGUCUCUCUUUGCUGCCUAUGCUGGAUUGCAGUGCUGCGAUCUCAGCUCACUGCAACCUCCACCUCCCAGAGUCAAGCAAUUCUCCUGCCUUAGCCUCCUGGGUAGCUGGGAUUAGAGACACCCACCACCACUCCUGGCUAUUUUUUAUUUUUUUAUUUUUUAUUGUUAGUAGAGAUGGGGUUUCACCAUGUUGGGCCAGGCUGGUCUCGAACUCCUGACAUCAAGUGAUCUGCCCGCCUCGGCCUCCCAAACUGCUGGGAUUACAGGUGUAAAAGAUUUUUAAAAGUAAGGAGGAGGCCGAGGUGGGAGGAUGGCUUGAGCCCAGGAGUUCAAGUUAGGCAACAUGACAAAAUCCUGUCUCUGCAAAAAAUAUAAAAAUUAGUUGGGCAUGGUGGCAUGUGCCUGUAAUCCCAGCUACUUGGAGGUUGAGGUGAGAGAAUCACCUGAGCCCAGAAGGCCAAGGCUGCAUUGAGCCAUGAUGAAGCCACUGUACUCCAGCCUGAGCGUCGGAGUGAGACCAUGUCUCAAAAAAAAAAAAAAAAAAAAGGAGGCAAUGAUGAUUUGAAGCGACCAGAUUGUCUGCCUCAGUUGAGUUUCUGGGUUUGGAGCCUCUCUGGUAGCCACAACAAGAAUAUUCUUGGAUUGAGCCCCAAAGUUCUGCUGGUUGAACAAAAUGCAUGGCUGUCUUCUUCCAUUUUUAGAAUCAUAGAGUCCUGGAAUACCAGAAAUGAAAGGGUUUUAGAGAUCACCUAGUGUAACACCCCCAUUUUUACACAUGAGAAACUGGGACCCUGGGAGCUUCCAUGGUUUGCUCAGAGGACACUCUGAGGGUGAGUGGCAGAACCAAGACUGGAAGCUGGGUUUCUCCAGGCUCACAGUCCCUGGCUCCUUGUGUUGAGUCUUUGGGGAGGAGGAAGAAAAAUGAGAGCAAAAUGAUAGGGUCAGGACUGCAGAAUCAAAUGAGAAGCACCAACCGAGAUAGGAAGGUUUCUUGAAUGACAAUGACUGACACCUGGGUCUAUGCAGGGGGCCUCCCUGCUCAGGACUUUCUCUGAGUGUGGCCCAGGCUAAGGAAUUCUGAGGCCCUUCUGAUGCUAAGACCUUGGAUCUGGGAGACUAAGACAUGUGGACUGGUAAAUCCUUCCUGUGUCUUCUAGGUGUGCAGAAGCGCACAAGGACACCUCCCAGCUGGCGUCAUUGAGGCCGGCAGCAUUUUGACAUGUGGGUCAGGGUUCUCUGGGUCAUACUGUCAUGUUUUGAACUCUUUUCUGUUGGAGAAAAUUUUACUAUUUUUUCAAACCCAAUCAAUAGUAUGGUAUAGUCUUGUUUAAAUGUCACAUAAUCGCACUGAAGAAACAUCUAAAGGAGAAAAAAAGAACUACCUUUAGCCUCACAACCUUCACCCUAUAACUGACUUCCCUUUUGCUUUUUCUCUUCUGGCCCUUGUCCAUGUGCACACAUAAUUUUGCUUGGUUGUAAUGAGAAGACACAUACAAUUUUGUAUUAAAGCAAUAAAGUUUUAAUGAUGUAUAGAUAUACAAAGAAAAUAGCUAUAAAGCAAUAUUUAUGCAGGUUUGUAGGGGAAAAAUCCAUUUUAAAGGAGACAGUAUGGAAUAAUAGAACAUCUUAGAGUAGUCCAUUUGGGAUAGUGCUUAUAAGACUUUAAUAACAUUUCUUCUCUUUCCUUUUUAUAUUGUUCCUUAACCAAGUCAUGAUGAAAUAAAUGUUAUAUAUGUUCAGCUUAUAUUUGUGCCAUUUGAUUUUUAAAACAAUCAUGGUGCUUCACAAGAAAAAAAAAUAUCAUAGAUCUUGGUGACUUCCACCCCAGUGAGAGGCCAGUUUUCCAUAGCAUUUGGUUUUAUGUAAGCAAAGCCUAAUUUUUGUAUCCUCUGUCUUGCCAUGCAAAAUCAGCCAACCUCAAGUAAUAAGCAAACAAGCAUCGACCUAUUAUUUACUGUGCAUCUAGUGCUGGUCAUUAUAAGGUUCACAAAAUGGUAGACCUUUGCCCACAAGGUCCUUUCAAACUCCUUGAAAAAUGGAGGCAAAAGUACAUUAUUGAACUCUCAGUGAAUUGACCUGAUGUAUUAUAUAUUUAAUUGUCUGUUUGUUUUCUGUCUAUAUUCUCCUUAUACUGUAAGAAACAUUUGCUAUUCCUAAUUCUGGAGGCUGGGAAGUCCAAGAUCAAGGUGCCCGCAGAUCCAGUGUCUGGUGAGGGUUGCUUCCUGGCUUGUAGACAGUUGUCUUCUCUCUGUAUCCUCACAGAGCAGAGGCAGUGAGUGAGCUCUGGUUAGAUCAUCUCUUUAUAAGGACACCGGUUCCACCAUGGGGGCUCAACCCUGUGACCUCUUCCACACCCAAUUACCUCCUAGAGGCCCCAUCUUCAAACACCACCGCACUGGGAACUAGGGCCUCAACAUG
rnacentral:lncRNA from 1 species